UGCUGUUUUUUUUUCAUCUUCUUCCUCGACUCUUCUUCUCAGUUACUCUUUUCACUCAAUCACCAUAUCUAUGGUUUCGCUACUCAGCCUUUUUGUCUUUUUUAUUCAAGUUUCUGACAGAUUUACUUAACAAUGGAAGCAAUUGAAGAAUUAAAUAGAUUUGGGUUUUGAUCUAAUCUCCUCAAAUUCAUCUGGGUUUUUCUAAUUUCAAU